rnacentral:rRNA from 1 species
UACGUAGGGGGCGAGCGUUGUCCGGAUUUAUUGGGCGUAAAGAGCGUGUAGGCGGCCAUACAGGUCCGUUGUGAAAACUGGAGGCUUAACCUCCAGACGUCGAUGGAAACCGUGUGGCUAGAGUCCGGAAGAGGAGAGUGGGAAUUCCUGGUGUAGCGGUGAAAUGCGCAGAUAUCAGGAGGAACACCGAUGGCGAAGGCAGGUCUCUGGGCAUUAACUGACGCUGAGGAGCGAAAGCAUGGGGAGCGAACAGG